UAGUGGCAGACGGGUGAGUAAUGCAUAGGAAUCUGCCCAGUAGUAUGGGAUAGCCACUAGAAAUGGUGGGUAAUACUGUAUACGCCCUGCGGGGGAAAGAUUUAUCGCUACUGGAUGAGCCUAUGUUAGAUUAGCUAGUUGGUAGGGUAAAGGCCUACCAAGGCAGUGAUCUAUAGCUGGUCUGAGAGGAUGAUCAGCCACACUGGAACUGAGAUACGGUCCAGACUCCUACGGGAGGCAGCAGUGGGGAAUAUUGGACAAUGGGCGCAAGCCUGAUCCAGCUAUGCCGCGUGAGUGAGGAAGGCCUUAGGGUUGUAAAACUCUUUCAGCGGGGAAGAUAAUGACGGUACCCGCAGAAGAAGUCCCGGCAAACUCCGUGCCAGCAGCCGCGGUAAUACGGAGGGGGCAAGCGUUGUUCGGAAUUAUUGGGCGUAAAGGGCAUGUAGGCGGUUUGGUGAGUUAAAGGUGAAAU
rnacentral:rRNA from 1 species